rnacentral:piRNA from 1 species
UCGUGAUUAAGGAAGACACAGCUUUGCUGC